rnacentral:rRNA from 1 species
UACAGAGGUCUCAAGCGUUGUUCGGAUUCAUUGGGCGUAAAGGGCGCGUAGGCGGCGGGGUAAGUCGGGUGUGAAAUCUCAGAGCUCAACUCUGAAACUGCACUCGAUACUGCUCUGCUUGAGGACUGGAGAGGAGACUGGAAUUCACGGUGUAGCAGUGAAAUGCGUAGAUAUCGGGAGGAACACCGGUGGCGAAGGCGGGUCUCUGGGCAUUUCCUGACGCUGAGGCGCGAAAGCGUGGGGAGCAAACGGG